CCUACGGGGGGCUGCAGUGGGGAAUAUUGGACAAUGGGGGGAACCCUGAUCCAGCCAUGCCGCGUGUGUGAAGAAGGCCCUCGGGUUGUAAAGCACUUUCAGUGAGGAAGAACGCCUGGUGGUUAAUACCCAUCAGGAAAGACAUCACUCACAGAAGAAGCACCGACUAACUCCGUGCCAGCAGCCGCGGUAAUACGGAGGGUGCGAGCGUUAAUCGGAAUUACUGGGCGUAAAGCGCGCGUAGGUGGCUUGAUAAGCCGGUUGUGAAAGCCCCGGGCUCAACCUGGGAACGGCAUCCGGAACUGUCAAGCUAGAGUGCAGGAGAGGAAGGUAGAAUUCCCGGUGUAGCGGUGAAAUGCGUAGAGAUCGGGAGGAAUACCAGUGGCGAAGGCGGCCUUCUGGACUGACACUGACACUGAGGUGCGAAAGCGUGGGUAGCAAACAGGAUUAGAUACCCGGGUGGUC
rnacentral:rRNA from 1 species